rnacentral:rRNA from 1 species
AGCUUUUGAGCUAAAUAUAUUAUAAUAUUAGUUAUUUAUAUAAAGUGUUGUAAAACUUUAUUAAAAAAUAUAUUUAGGGGUGAUAGGCUAUUCAAAAACUAAGAUAUCUUGAAUCUAAUUAAAAGUAUGUAGUACAUUUAACACGACUAUUAAGUGAUUAGGCUUAAUAUAAAUAUUAACUUUUUUGAAGAAUUUUUUAAUAUAAUUUAAUAACUAACUAUUCUUACAAAUUAUUAUUUAUAUAUUUAAAUUUUAUAAGGAGUAAUUAGAUAAUUUUAAGUUUUAUUAUAUUUGUAAUAAUGUUAAUAUUAGUAUAUAUUAAUAUAUUUAUAUGAUGAACUCGGCAAAAAUGUAUUCUCAACUGUUUAUCAAAAACAUAACUAUGUGCGAUAAUACAUAGCGGUUUCUGCUCAA